rnacentral:lncRNA from 1 species
ACUAUGAGGCACGGGUGAUAUUUUGGUACUCAUCAAAUUUUAAUUUACUAUAAUUUUUAAUUCGAACUAUCAAAAUUGUUGAAAUUAAGUUUUACAAUCUAAUUUAGUUGAGUAAAUAUUAACGCAUCGUUAAUGUAAAAGUGAUGUGAUAUCUUAAUUAUUAGCCUAUUAUCAAUUAUAAUACUACUGCGUACAACACUUCUACAUUAGUGAUAUACCGUUAUUUAGUGAUCAACUAAUUUUGGCUAUAGAACUUAAUGACAACAAUUCUGAAAAAUUGAACUAUAAAUUCCAACAAAUUAAAAUUUAAGGACAAAAACGUCACUGCCCUCCAAAUGUUCAAUUAACCCUU